rnacentral:rRNA from 1 species
UACGUAGGGGGCAAGCGUUGUCCGGAAUUAUUGGGCGUAAAGAGCGCGUAGGCGGUCCGAUAAGUCGGCUGUGAAAGUCAGGGGCUCAACCCUUGAAAGCCGGCCGAUACUGUCGGACUAGAGUCCGGAAGAGGCGAGUGGAAUUCCCGGUGUAGCGGUGAAAUGCGCAGAUAUCGGGAGGAACACCAAUGGCGAAAGCGGCUUCCUGGUCCAGUACCGACGGUCAGGCACGAAAGCGUGGGGAGCAAACAGG